ensembl:miRNA
UCUUGCCUGAUUCCAGGCUGAGGUAGUAGUUUGUACAGUUUGAGGGUCUAUGAUACCACCCGGUACAGGAGAUAACUGUACAGGCCACUGCCUUGCCUGGGACAGA